UUGGACCUGAACCAAGGCUGACAGUUUUCUGAAGCUGUUGGUUUCAAACAGAAACCUAAAUCAGUAUCUUUCUGUGAUUUAUUGGCUAUUUCAGAACUUUAAAAAUGCAAAGGCCAAUUCAUUAGAAAGAAACAACU
ensembl:snoRNA small nucleolar RNA SNORA2/SNORA34 family